rnacentral:rRNA from 1 species
CAGUAGCCGCGGUAACACGUAGUGUGCAAGCGUUAAUCGGAAUUACUGGGCGUAAAGCGUGCGCAGGCGGUUAUAUAAGACAGAUGUGAAAUCCCCGGGCUCAACCUGGGAACUGCAUUUGUGACUGUAUAGCUAGAGUACGGCAGAGGGGGAUGGAAUUCCGCGUGUAGCAGUGAAAUGCGUAGAUAUGCGGAGGAACACCGAUGGCGAAGGCAAUCCCCUGGGCCUGUACUGACGCUCAUGCACGAAAGCGUGGGGAGCAAACAGGAUUAGAGACCCGAGUAGUCCCUGUCUCUUAUAC